rnacentral:misc_RNA from 1 species
AAAGAGACAACAUCCCAAAUAUUGACAAUUUUAUGGACAAACAACACUAGCAGAAUACGUGAUAGUUCGAAUGAAAGAGACAAAAUUCCCAAUGUUGACAAUUUUAUGAACAUACAACACUACCAUCAUACCCUAAUGAUGUUGAUAGGAACUAGAAACUGAAAAUGAAAAGAUAACAUGGGAACUUGACAACUUGAUAACAGUUGCGCGGUGAUCUGAAACUUGUUAUCGAACAUUCAGACGUUUUACUGAGGAUUUGGAGGACGACUAUUAGCUGCCGAGACUCUAGAACCCCAUUCAAGCAGUUCUUUGCUGGUGUCAUCCUUGUGAACAAUCACUUCGAUGAAGCACAAACUAUCUUUCUUUGCUUCAGUUGCAGUUCCAAUUGCUUCCACAAGCUCCUCUUCGCAACGAACCUUUGUUGUCCAACAUUUUCCUUGCCCGUUGUGGAUUGCAUCGACUAGUCCAGUGUAAUUCCAGUUCUUGAUCACAUUGUAAGGUCCGUCGUGAAUCUCAACUUCAAUUGUGUAACCGCCAUUGUUUAUCAAGAAGAUGAUAGUCCUCUGACCACAUUGCAGCAUUGUUGAAAUAUCCUGAGCAGUCACCUGAAAACUACCAUCACCAAUGAAAGCAAUCACCCUCUUUUCUUUUGCUGCUUGUGCGUAACCAAGAGUUGCCCCAACAGACCAACCAAUAGAUCCAUACUGCAUUUGGAACUCGUACCCACAUCCCUUGGGCAGUUUAAGUUUCUGGCAAUUGAACCAUGAAUCCCCCGUCUCAGCAAUCACAGCCGUGUCACCAGACAACAUCCUCUGAAUGUGCUCAAAGAGAACAUUAACCCUCAAUGCCUCUUUAGACUCACACAUGAGAGGAUGUCCCUCUGGAACAUAAAUCCUUCGAUAGUUCUCGUAAGCAGUCGGGUUGUGCUUUAGCCUCUUGCCCAAUGCAGCAAGGAAAUCCUUCAUUAAAAUACAACCAAAUGUAGGUCCAUUACCAACAGUCACACGAUCCGGCUGUACAAUGAUAGCUUUCUCUCUUUUGAGAAGCAGAGAAUACCCAACAGAGCUAUAGUCAUUAAAAAUAGGUCCAGCAAACAAGUAAGCAUCA